CAAGGCUUGACAUGCAGGGUAAUCCGGCAGAGAUGUCGGGUCCGCAAGGGAUCUUGCACAGGUGGUGCAUGGUUGUCGUCAGCUCGUGUCGUGAGAUGUUGGGUUAAGUCCCGCAACGAGCGCAACCCUCGUCCUAUGUUGCCAGCGCGUGAUGGCGGGGACUCAUAGGAGACUGCCGGGGUCAACUCGGAGGAAGGUGGGGAUGACGUCAAAUCAUCAUGCCCCUUAUGUCUUGGGCUUCACGCGUGCUACAAUGGCCAGUACAAAGGGCUGCGAGACCGUGAGGUGGAGCGAAUCCCAAAAAGCUGGUCUCAGUUCGGAUCGGGGUCUGCAACUCGACCCCGUGAAGUCGGAGUCGCUAGUAAUCGCAGAUCAGUAACGCUGCGGUGAAUA
rnacentral:rRNA from 1 species